GGGAAAAACAAGAAGGAGAGGAAGCUUCUAACUUCAGUCUCAGGCGGUUAAACUCCGUCUUUAUUCCU
rnacentral:tRNA from 1 species